UUGCAUCUAGCAUAACUACUAGCUCAGGGA
rnacentral:piRNA from 1 species